AUCCAGACAAACUCCGCCUACUUUCACAAAACUAUACAACAGAACAUGUUUAGUAGCAAUACUAAGAAGAGAUGUGAGACAAAAUGGUAGGGGUGUGUGUGUGUGUGUGUGUGUGUGUGUGUGUGUGUGUGUGUGUGUGUGUGUGUGUGUGUGUGUGUGUGUGUGUGUGUGUGUGUGUGUGU